rnacentral:rRNA from 1 species
UGGGGAAUUUUUCGCAAUGGGGGCAACCCUGACGAAGCAACGCCGCGUGGAUGAUGAAGUAUCUCGGUACGUAAAAUCCUUUCGACAGGGAAGAAACCCGCAAGGGUUGACGGUACCUGUAGAAGAAGCCCCGGCUAACUCCGUGCCAGCAGCCGCGGUAAUACGGGGGGGGCAAGCGUUGUUCGGAAUUACUGGGCGUAAAGGGUGCGUAGGCGGUGCGCUAAGUCGGAUGUGAAAACUCUGGGCUCAACCCAGAGACUGCAUCCGAAACUGACGUGCUAGAGUUCUGGAGGGGGUAGCGGAAUUCCUGGUGUAGCGGUGAAAUGCGUAGAUAUCAGGAGGAACACCGGUGGCGAAGGCGGCUACCUGGACAGAGUCUGACGCUGAGGCACGAAAGCUAGGGGAGCAAACAGGAUUAGAUACCCGCGUAGUCC